GGUUGUAGCUAAGUGGUAGAGAGCUUGCCUAGCAUGUGUGAGGCCCUGGGUUCGAUCCUCAGCACCG
rnacentral:tRNA from 1 species